rfam:Triticum aestivum genome assembly, contig: Triticum_aestivum_CS42_TGACv1_scaffold_328373_4BS
AAGGUACUCCCUCCAUCCGAAAAAGCUUGUCCUAAGCUUGUCCCUCAAAUGGAUGUAUCUAGCACUUGAUGCUAGAUACAUCCAUUUGAGGGACAAGCUUUUUGGGACGGAGGGAGUAACUA